CCUUCUGCUACAGACUAGUGGGGAUUUGGAGGGAAAGUCUGAAUAAUGCUUAGUCACAAGGUGAUGUCUCGGUCCUGCAGCAAAGAUGUUUGGCAAGUAAAGAGAGCUGCUGUGUGUGACACAUUUGGACAUCAGGCUCUGAGAAUAAAGAGGGACCCGCUAAUUGAUCUUCUGGAAGAAUAAAAUAUACUUUCUGCUUUAAACAACUGAAUCCUUACUAAAGAGGAAUUGAAUGUGAAAAUCUGCAUAUGCCUCACAUGCUGCUCUUCAUGGCCAGAAGGACAGUGAAACUCACAAAGCUUAAAAAGAGAAGGGGUGUUCCAGGUACGACAGUUUCUGACAAUCACACUUGUGCUGGUCACUUCAAGAACACUUCAUGCUGAGCUUUCAAUAGUAGCUAAUUCAGUGCUGAAUCAGUCACUAAAGCCUUUGGAGUAGUUGUGCCUUUGGAACGGAAGAGUUUGAGGAAAGAAGAAUCCUGAAAAAUGAAAUAAAGGAGGAGGGAAUUCUCAGUG